UUGCUUCAGCAGCACAUAUACUAAAAUUGGAACGAUAUAGAGAAGAUUAGCAUGGCCCCGUACAAGGAUGACAUGCAAAUUCGUGAAGCGUUCCAUAUUUUU
rnacentral:snRNA from 1 species